rnacentral:tRNA from 1 species
GGGGGUAUAGCUCAGUGGUAGAGCAUUUGACUGCAGAUCAAGAGGUCGCCAGUUCAAAUCUGGCUGUCCUCU